rnacentral:rRNA from 1 species
AGAGUUUGAUCCUGGCUCAGGAUGAACGCUAGCGGCAGGCCUAACACAUGCAAGUCGAACGGUAACAGGUGUAGCAAUACAUGCUGACGAGUGGCGCACGGGUGCGUAACGCGUAUGCAAUCUACCUCUAACUGAAGAAUACCCCAGGGAAACUUGGAUUAAUACUUCAUAAUAUCAAAUUGCCUCAUGGUAGUUUGAUUAAAGCUUUGGCGGUUAGAGAUGAGCAUGCGUCCCAUUAGCUAGUUGGUGAGGUAACGGCUCACCAAGGCAACGAUGGGUAGGGGGUCUGAGAGGAUUAUCCCUCACACUGGUACUGAGACACGGACCAGACUCCUACGGGAGGCAGCAGUGAGGAAUAUUGGGCAAUGGACGGAAGUCUGACCCAGCCAUGCCGCGUGCAGGAUGACGGCCCUAUGGGUUGUAAACUGCUUUUAUGUAGGAAGAAACCCCUUUACGUGUAGAGGGCUGACGGUACUACUUGAAUAAGCAUCGGCUAACUCCGUGCCAGCAGCCGCGGUAAUACGGAGGAUGCAAGCGUUAUCCGGAUUCAUUGGGUUUAAAGGGUCCGUAGGCGGACUUUUAAGUCAGAGGUGAAAGCCUACAGCUCAACUGUAGAAUUGCCUUUGAUACUGGAAGUCUUGAGUACAAUUGAAGUGGGCGGAAUACGUCAUGUAGCGGUGAAAUGCAUAGAUAUGACGUAGAACACCGAUUGCGAAGGCAGCUCACUAAGUUGUAACUGACGCUGAGGGACGAAAGCGUGGGGAGCAAACAGGAUUGGAUACCCUGGUAGUCCACGCUGUAAACGAUGAUAACUCGCUGUUGGCGAUAUACAGUCAGCGGCUAAGCGAAAGCGUUAAGUUAUCCACCUGGGGAGUACGUUCGCAAGAAUGAAACUCAAAGGAAUUGACGGGGGCCCGCACAAGCGGUGGAGCAUGUGGUUUAAUUCGAUGAUACGCGAGGAACCUUACCAGGGCUUAAAUGCAGAGUGACCUUUCUGGAAACAGAGAUUCUCUUCGGAGCAAUUUGCAAGGUGCUGCAUGGUUGUCGUCAGCUCGUGCCGUGAGGUGUUAGGUUAAGUCCUGCAACGAGCGCAACCCCUAUCUUUAGUUGCCAGCGAGUCAUGUCGGGGACUCUAAAGAGACUGCCAGCGCAAGCUGUGAGGAAGGUGGGGAUGACGUCAAAUCAUCACGGCCCUUACGUCCUGGGCUACACACGUGCUACAAUGGUAGAGACAGAGGGCAGCCACCACGUGAGUGGGAGCGAAUCCUUAAACUCUAUCUCAGUUCGGAUCGAAGUCUGCAACUCGACUUCGUGAAGCUGGAAUCGCUAGUAAUCGCGCAUCAGCCAUGGCGCGGUGAAUACGUUCCCGGGCCUUGUACACACCGCCCGUCAAGCCAUGGGAGUUGGGAGUGCCUGAAGUCGGUAACCGCAAGGAGCUGCCUAGGGUAAGACCAAUGACUGGGGCUAAGUCGUAACAAGGUA